rnacentral:rRNA from 1 species
GACAGAGGCCUCGAGCGUUAGGCGGAAUCACUGGGCUUAAGGCGUGUGUAGGCGGAUCGUUAAGUACCUUGUGAAAUCCCACGGCUCAACCGUGGAACGGCUGGGUAUACUGGCGGUCUUGGGCCAUUCAGGGGCGACUGGAACAAGCGGUGGAGCGGUGAAAUGCGUAGAUAUCGCUUGGAACGCCGAAGGUGAAAACAGGUCGCUGGGGAUGUGCCGACGCUGAGACACGAAAGCCAGGGGAGCAAACAGG